CGGAUUCUGGCUCAGGAUGAACGCUAGCUACAGGCUAACACAUGCAAGUCGAGGGGCAGCAUGUGGUUGCUUGCAACCAAUGAUGGCGACCGGCGCACGGGUGAGUAACGCGUAUCCAACCUCCCCCACAGUAGAGGAUAGCCCGGCGAAAGUCGGAUUAAUACUCUAUGUUGUAUUUCGAGGACAUCUGACGAAUACCAAAGAUUUAUCGCUAUGGGAUGGGGAUGCGUCUGAUUAGGUAGUCGGCGGGGUAACGGCCCACCGAGCCAUCGAUCAGUAGGGGUUCUGAGAGGAAGGUCCCCCACAUUGGUACUGAGACACGGACCAAACUCCUACGGGAGGCAGCAGUGAGGAAUAUUGGUCAAUGGGCGCGAGCCUGAACCAGCCAAGUAGCGUGCAAGGACGACUGCCCUAUGGGUUGUAAGCUGCUUUUAUGCGGGAAUAAAGUCAGGUACGUGUACCUGUUUGUAUGUACCGCAUGAAUAAGGACCGGCUAAUUCCGUGCCAGCCGCGGC
rnacentral:rRNA from 1 species